GACGAACGCUGGCGGCGUGCUUAACACAUGCAAGUCGAACGGAAAGGCCCUGCUUUUGUGGGGUGCUCGAGUGGCGAACGGGUGAGUAACACGUGAGUAACCUGCCCUUGACUUUGGGAUAACUUCAGGAAACUGGGGCUAAUACCGGAUAGGAGCGCCUGCUGCAUGGUGGGGGUUGGAAAGUUUCGGCGGUUGGGGAUGGACUCGCGGCUUAUCAGCUUGUUGGUGAGGUAGUGGCUUACCAAGGCUUUGACGGGUAGCCGGCCUGAGAGGGUGACCGGCCACAUUGGGACUGAGCUACGGCCCAGACUCCUACGGGAGGCAGCAGUGGGGAAUAUUGCACAAUGGGCGGAAGCCUGAUGCAGCAACGCCGCGUGCGGGAUGACGGCCUUCGGGUUGUAAACCGCUUUCGCCUGUGACGAAGCGUGAGUGACGGUAAUGGGUAAAGAAGCACCGGCUAACUACGUG
rnacentral:rRNA from 1 species